GUGGGGAAUAUUGGACAAUGGGCGCAAGCCUGAUCCAGCCAUGCCGCGUGUGUGAAGAAGGCCUUCGGGUUGUAAAGCACUUUUGUUGGGAAAGAAAUCCUGUCGGCCAAUACCCGGCGGGGAUGACGGUACCCAAAGAAUAAGCACCGGCUAACUUCGUGCCAGCAGCCGCGGUAAUACGAAGGGUGCAAGCGUUACUCGGAAUUACUGGGCGUAAAGCGUGCGUAGGUGGUUCGUUAAGUCAGAUGUGAAAGCCCCGGGCUCAACCUGGGAAUUGCAUUUGAUACUGGCGGACUAGAGUGCGGUAGAGGAGAGUGGAAUUCCCGGUGUAGCAGUGAAAUGCGUAGAGAUCGGGAGGAACAUCAGUUGCGAAGGCGGCUCUCUGGACCAGCACUGACACUGAGGCACGAAAGCGUGGGGAGCAAACAGGAUUAGAAACCCGUGUAGUCC
rnacentral:rRNA from 1 species